GCAAAUUCAAUCAGGCUGUGUCCUUUCCUCUUUGCUUUCAUGUUGAGAGGUGUUUGCUCACUGUGGAGCCAUGGGGAUCAUUGCUGAAGGUGUGGAGGGAAGCAGCAUGCAUGGCUCCUGCCCUGCUGGUGGCAUUGGGAACGUGGUGUCUGCACCAGUGAUGUGACUGCAUCUCUCCUCACUGGAACGAGGACUGAAGCUCUGGGAGCUGAGGGGUUGUCAGUCCCUAUUAAUAAACAGGUAUGAGGGAUGUCUCUAGGCCCAGAACUGCAAUAACAAUGGCAGAACUGGUGAUGCAUGAGUUUGUUCUCUGUGAGUGUCCCACAUAUGCCCAUGACCAGAGCCCAGCCCCUAAAGUUGAUUCUCAGCAAGACCUGUGGUCCCCUAGGCAAGGAGGAGCAAGAACCAUUUUGCCUUGAGAGAUGGAAAGCCCAGUCCUUUUCUGCAGCUGAUUAAGAGGGAAUCCCCUGCUGGAAGAAGAAACUGAAAUAGAAAAAUCCCUUUCCAGGAAUGAGCACUCCAUGGGUAAUCAAGCUGGGAUUGCAUUGUUCGGAGGAACUUUUCAAAAAUCAGACCCACAGCAAGAGAAUCUUUUUAAGAUCUGCAGAAUAAGCUGGCUGGCAGCUUUAUAUAGAGAUGCAAUCCAGUUCUUGUGUUUGGAAGCAAAAGAAAAAUGCUUCAAUAUAAGUUUAAUUACAGUUGUUUUUAGAAAUCCUUUGCAGUGCAUGUUUCAGCUAAAACAACCUUGCAAUUAAUCUUGUAGACGAAAACCUGAUGUAACCAAAAUCUGAUGUAAAAUCUAUCUCUACUUCCAUGUCUCUUCUUGAAUUCUAAUCUAAAAAGAGAAGAAAAAACUUUAAGGAGCUGAAAGAGAGAAUUUCUGUAUCUGGAUGUUUUUACAGUGCAGUCCUACAAGCCUGAGCUAUUAGCAUUCAACAAGGAAAUAUCACCACAAUUGUUGCCUGUUGAUGGUCUGUAUCUCCCACUGACCUGUGCUCACUGGAGAAUUGAUGAUACUUGAUGUGACAGCACCACUCUCAUAGUGUCUCCUAAUCCCAAAUGUCAGAGUCAAAACUCCUGUCAAUAACUCCUCUGGUUUUUCUCUAACAUAUCCAGCUGACAUGAGUGCCUAGAAGGACUGGGAAUCAUUUGCAGCCAAGUAUUUAAUGAGUGUCCAUCACCAGACAGGGUUUAUUUGUGGCUGUGUGGUCACCUCCUUCUGCACUGAGCUCAGCAUGUCACAACACCUCCUGCCUCCCCAGACAACAUCUGCAUGGCAGCCAAUGUGACAGGCUUCACUGUGCCUUCUCCUGGGGUGCCCAAAAUGAUCCAAUCUAGGCUGACAGCUACAACACACCAGAAUAAAUAUGUAUUGUGAUGAUCCUGUCAGCUGAGACUGGACUGGAGAAAUGUCUUCUGCCUAAGUGUUAAAUUUGCAGACAAAGAAUUGAAGCUGAACAAAUGGAUAGAAUUGCCUGCUGUAAAAAUGUGAGGAUGAUUUGUCCCCUCUUUAAAAGCAUCAGGAGAAGAUGCACAGACAGUCUUGUCACGCUAACCUUGUGACAAAGUAGAGUCACCAUACAGGAAAGCCACGCUGAGCUGAAUUCUCCAGGCCUGUCUCAGCCUGUUGCUGCCUUUCUGUGGACCCUUUGCUGCCACACCACCAGAAGGGACCAGGCAGAGGUAAGCCCUUAGAAGCUCCAUUGUUUGCACAUCUCUCUCUGCUUUCCUUCUCUGCCUCUGGAGGUUUGUGCUCAGGUGUCAUACCUCGUGUGGGACACCUAUAGGGGCUGCUGGUAUUUCUGGCUAGCUAGAAUGCACAGAGUGCUGCUCUGAUCUGUGUGGAAAAGAGUGCCUGUCACCAUACGUUCAUAGCUCAACAUGGUGCCAGGCACAGCCCCAGGAGCAGACUUGCAAUAUCACAAAUGUGUUUUAUUCCUGGAAAAGCUCUAGUUGUUCCUUACGGGUAGGCACUUCUGGGGUUGUUAGGAUAAAAAAAGGAGCAGCAGCUUGAGCAGCCUGUUUUCUGUAGACUCAGUAGUAGGACAGGAAUGCCAUGUCUGCACAGUGAGCAGUUUCUCUAGGACUGACCUCCCUUGGUGGAAUGAUUUCUAAAGGAAAACCUGCAUUUGUGUAUCUUUCAGCCCCUUGGGUUCAGGUGCCCAAGGUCUUUCCAAAUCAGUCCAAAUAUACAUCUUUCCCUUUCCUGGUAGAUGAAGGAUGUGUUGUAAACAACUGGAACUGUCAGUGAUUCAGCUGGUGGAAGAUGUGUCAGAUGUCCCUAUUCCCAAAGCACUACUGCUGAGGUCUUGGUAUAUGUCCCAGUACCCAGCCUUCCCAAAUGGGACACUGCCCCUUAAUCCACACUCCUGAUACAGCACUGCUUCCCAGAGCACUGUCUGUUAAGGGGCUCCUGAGGGAUCCCAGGGGUGCAGGAAAGGAAACACUCACAUCUGUGCCACGUUCCUGGAGGAGGAGGUUGGUGGGAAGAGAGAUGAGCAACUGCCAUGGAGGCUCACUUUGCCACCCACUCCUAAACUGGACUUCCAGUAUCACUGUAAGUAAUGCUGGACAAAUGUUCUGGCAAGUGACAAAUUGUUUCCCAGCUCAGCUCCAUUCUCUUCCCACCUUUUUUUCCCUGUGAGUCAACUUCUGCCUACACAGAUGCUUCCAGAGCAGCCCGAAUGCCCUCUUCGUUUUGUGCUGAUGGGAUGGUGAGUUUGCACUGAGGCACAGUUUCUACCCCUGGAUUUCCAGAUUUUCCUGCAUGUGGGCAGAGAGCAGAAUGAUGCUGAGUGACUGAAGUCCCUGUUCACAAUUCAGGAAUAAUAAAGACUGCCAAAGCUUGCAGCCCCAAAGCCACAUUCCAUGGGACCUCCAGCGCACAGUCAGGCAGCAAACGGCUGCAGUGAUAUGAAAUGUGGUGUCUUUGUGCUGAUCUUCAGCCAGAGGUUACACUCCUCACCCCAGAGCUGGAGUGGUGAUGGUGAUGGAUGGUCCAGGUCCUCCAGCACGGCAACCACAGGCUCUGCUGGGACCUUUCUGCUGAUAUCUUGGCAAAGGAAAGCAAAGCUGAAUCUGCAGGGCGCAAAAGGGGUGGAGCAAGCAGCAGUUUAUAGGGGGAGCAUUUUCCUCAUGCUCUGAAGGACUGAAUGUAGGAUGAGACCCUCUGCUAGCUGUAGGCUAUAAGGUAGCCCUAGAGAUCCUUUACUGUGAGCAGUCUCUGUCGGAAUGGUCAUUUCCCAGGACAAACUUCAGCAGAGCAAUGGGAAGGGCUUGACUUUGAAUGUUUUUUUCUCUUUAAUAAACAAGAGACUCUUAAUAAACCUGGAAAUUCCCCUUUUAAAUUUGAUACGCUGGCCUCUUCCAGACUCCAAGCUUCAGGUUGGAAGUAAUAGGAAGUGAGAUUAAAUGGGCUGGAAGCUGAAGGAUCACAGGACUGAGAACCCAAGCCCUGCUUGCUGGGGUGCAGCUUGCCCACCAAUGGGCAAGGCAGUUUCUGGUGCAAGAGCUCCUGUGCAAGAGGCUGUUUGCCAUAGCUGCAGAGGAAAUCAGCUGUGUCACCCCACAGGCUUUUCUGUCAGUAGGAAACUCUGCUCAUAUUAGAAGCAGCAGCAUUGUAUUGGCAAGGGUUUCCAACACAAAGUUGACUUAGAAGAAAUGAAGGUGUUGCAGUGGUACAACUGUGUGUUUGAUGAUACCAAUACAAAUCAUUGCUCAUGUCCUGCUGGUCUCAGAUCUUGUUCUCCCUACAGGACAGAGGAAUCCAGGCCCUUUCUUUCUUCUGGCUGGGAGCACCCGAAUAACGAAGGAGCUGCUCCAGCAGGAAAGAGUACCCAUGUCCAUCCCAUAGCCCUGACAGAUCAGCCCCAAUUGCUCAUCUGUUUCCAAGUACAGCUGAGACAUUUUGCUGGUGGGCAGAGAAGUCAGGGACACUGCAUCCAGCACCCUGCAGCAGAGGAAGCAUUAGUAUUGCUGUUGUUAGCCUUGUUAUUUUCUCCUAAUAAAAAGGUGGUCGUGACUCACUGCAUUAAGAAACAAAAGCAGAGUUGUAAUCUACUGAAAGGCAGUUGUUUAGAUGUUUAGCAUUAGGUGUGUAAAAGGAGGAAGGUCAGCUGCAGGUCAGGUCUGGUGAUAUACACCCUGCCAGCAGCACGGGCCAAGCUUCAGGUACUCCCUGGAGAACCGAUUUUCUGGGCUGGGGUAAUUUGCCCCGGCUUCAGAAGUAUCACUUCAGGCAGGAGUGUGGAAGGAGAAAAAGCUCUUUUUCUCACCCUUCCACAUUUCAGUUGGGUUUCCUGAGAGGAAAUGAUACUGUGGCUGUGCUGGCCCCCUCCUUCCUCUCAGGAGGGAGGAGCACGCCAGCAUCUGCUCACAGCACCUCUUCCCUCCCUAUGCCCCACUGGGACCAGUUUGCCAGCUGGGCUGUUCCUGGGGUCUGAGUCCCAAGGGAAGCAGGCUGCUUGUCAGGGAGGAAACAGUGGCCCCUGAAGCUGGGGGCUGAGAGGCAGCAAAGGCAGGUUGUGUUCAGGUGGUGUGGAGGUUUCCUGUGUGAGCAGGACUGGGUCACAGCACCCCUGCCUAUGCCAGAUCUCCCACCUAGUCCAUGUGAAGGCUUUUGGCACAGCUGUGGUGAUCCAGUUCUGACAGGAACCGUGCUGGCACGUGGGUCUCACCCAGACAUGUGGCUCUGCCAAUGCCCAGCUGCCUCCCAGGGUGGGUGCAGGGCAAGGGAAGGAGCCAGGCUGCCAGGAUGGCAGUGGCCAGGUGAAGACAACGCCCACGCUGAGAUGUGCUGUGAACAUCUGCCCCUACCCACAAGCUACUUCUAUUUUUGUUCCAUCUCAUACCCUGGCUGACUCAGAGGAGGGGAGUGAGGGGGGGUCAGGUUAGAAGAAGCCAGAUGGGAGGACUGUAGGGGAAUUGAAAGAGGAAGAGGAGUUGCUUCAAAACCAGUAGUUGCCAUUCUUUCAAUCAGCUUUCCUUUGCACACUAUUUAGUGCUUCUCUGUUUCAGCUGCAGGCAAUUUGAGGCAGGGAUGGCACUUCCUGCCUGCUCUUGAGGUGAGCAUUCUUUCAGGGCACCAUCAGAAUAAAUGACACCCUGCUCUUAGAUAGCUCCACUGUCAUCUGGCUGGGCUUUAAUGAGCUUGACUGGAGUUCACCCUUUUGCUUAACUUCUUCUAGGAAUUUCCACUCAUCAUUUUGGUGCCUUUACAAAACUAUCUCCAAUGAAAGGGCAAGUGCCAAAUUUCCUAAUUCCUGUGUGUCUUAGUGUCAUGACUUCUGGACACAGGCACAGUCAGUGGUCUGUGGUGUAAGUCUUGCACAUCAUUGAGACACAAUCUUGCAGCCACAUGGAAAGGGACCCUCCACUCAAACAGCCAUACCAGCAAUUUUCACAUUUAUUGAAGGUGGCCCUCUCUUCCUUGUCCCCAUUGCUUCAGAGCUUUCACUAAUUUUGCAGAAAUGGCACAUCAUGCUUUGUCCCAGUCCACUACUCUUCGUUUGUUCCUUAGGCUGUAAACCUUGGGCUAAGUACCAGCAUCCUCGGGGUUGUUCCCCAGGCAACAACCUGGGGAUCGGUGUUCUCGCUGAUCACUCCGUUGCCAAAGCUGCCUUAACGCAAACCAUGGCCUAAGCAGGGGACCCAGC